UACGGGGGGGGCAAGCGUUGUUCGGAAUUACUGGGCGUAAAGGGCUCGUAGGCGGCCAACUAAGUCGGAUGUGAAAUCCCCAGGCUUAACCUGGGAACUGCAUCCGAUACUGGAUGGCUUGAAUUCGGGAGAGGGAUGCAGAAUUCCAGGUGUAGCGGUGAAAUGCGUAGAUAUCUGGAGGAAUACCGGUGGCGAAGGCGGCAUCCUGGACCGGUAUUGACACUGAGGCGCGAAAGCCAGGGGAGCAAACGGG
rnacentral:rRNA from 1 species